GAACCAUACUGUUCCAAUAUUGUACAUGAUGUAGUACCACAUGGGUUCCCAAGUUUUGUGUAUACUAGACCUUUGUACCUCAUACAUGGAAAUGAUUAAUAGCGACUGAAUCAAAUGGAGAAUCUUCAGAGUUAAAUGCAUAGAAAGGAAAUAUGAAGAUAGCCAAUGCAUGACAUGAGGAGAAGCUGAGUUAUGAAUUUUGAAAUUGGUAUAAAGGAGAUGCUUACAUCAGAGAAGAUUUAAAGCAAAGUUUACAGUAUGUUGAGAAAAGAUCAUAACAAGCUUUUGGUAUGUUGAGAAAAGUUUGUUUGAAGAGGAAUCAUAGUGGUCAAAAUCUUUGAAUAAAGUGAAUUGUAUUAGAAGUGAAGCUUUAACAGACACGAGACAAUAAUUAAUAUUUAAUUGUUAUUUCAUAGACUAAUGUGAGUAGCAUUUGUAUGACUUGAAUGUCAUAUUUUUCAUAUGAAGACAUACAAGGCAAAAAAUUGGAUGUGACAAAAAUUUGUUUGCAUUUAAAGACUUGAAGAACUUGUACUGUCUUAUGUAGAAUUCAGGAGAAUUUGUUUAAGACAAUAAAUUCUGUGU